GGGCGCAUAGCUCAGGGGAUAGAGCACUGGUCUCCGGAACCAGGGGCCGCAGGUUCGAUUCCUGCUGCGCCCGCCA
rnacentral:tRNA from 1 species